rnacentral:ncRNA from 1 species
UGAUCAAGUAUGCAAUACAGCUGACAACAAGAACAAGACUGACACAUUGGCAGUUCUUCAACAGCUGGAAUCAACCAUGUAGGCUAUGACAGAACAAACCAUGGACUGACCUUGAUCUUUUAAGAAAUGUUUGAGUGUUAGCAUACCUAUUGGGACCUAAAGGUUGGUGAACUAUGCCUAAGCAGGGCAAAGCUAGAGGAAACUUUGGUGGGGCUCAUAGUGAUAUUGACAUGCAAAUUGUUUGUCAAACUUGGGUAUAAGGACAAAAAACUAAUUGAACCAUCUAGUAGUUGU